GUAUAAAUAAAUCUAAGUUUAUUGUAAACUCAAUAUUCUAAUCAGCAAUUGAAAGAACCCAAUAGACUAAUAGCAAAUAGAAUCCUUUGCAAGAAAGCUUCCUCAAGGAAGCUACUUAUUUCGACUGAACACACAAAGCCGUCCUUGAGUCUUGUUCACAAGCGAAGGUUUCCUUUUACUGCUAAUCUCUCCAAACGCUUUGAAAUUGAAGCUAUUCGUCGUCCAAUCAGGUUUUUUUCUUUUUUUAUUGAGUCUUUCCCUUUUUGGAUUUUUUUAAAUAUAUUUAUGUUUGAAAAAUCACCAUGCCCCCUUUCACUCCUAGUAUAGAAAAGGGAUUAUUUUUAUUGACAAUGCUUGGCUUCAUGUUGAUGUGGUAUCAGCCUAAAAAUUGUUUGCCAAGAGCAAUGAAUUCUUGAAAUUGAUGAUUAAUCCGUUGUACAGGAACCUUUUGUAAAUAUUCCAGAGGAAACAAUUUGAAAAGUAUUCAAAGUAUUCUUUGAUAUUUAAAAACCUUUUACUUGCAUCUUUUAAUUCUCUUAUUAAUCAUCUUGGCUUACUUGUCUUUUUCCAUACCAAAUGUGAAGAACCACCCACUGCUAAUCCACUGCAAUGGACGGAAGCAUAGAAUCCGGCGCCUAGGCAUCGACCACCAUCUUCAGUAUGAGAUUGACGAAGUUCUACAAAAGCAGUACAUGAGCAGUUUUGGUAGAAGCACGAUGGUUUGCUUCAGGGAAGCUACAAAAGGCGAAGGAGUACUUGGAGAAUGGCAUCACUAGCUCAGGAGUACAUAUGAUCCUGGUUCACAUCUUC